AAGGACGCAGCGAAGUGCGAUAAGCACUGCGAUUUGCAGAAUUCCGUGAACCAGUAGAAAUCUCAACGCAUACUGCACAAAGGGGAUCUUUCCUCUUUGUACAUACAUAUCAGUGUCGCUC
rnacentral:rRNA from 1 species